rnacentral:rRNA from 1 species
GACGAACGCUGGCGGCGUGCUUAACACAUGCAAGUCGAACGGAAAGGCCCUGCGUUUGUGUGGUGCUCGUGUGGCGAACGGGUGAGUAACACGUGAGUAACCUGCCCUUGACUGUGGGAUAACUUCAGGAAACUGGGGCUAAUACCGGAUAGGAGCUCCUGCUGCAUGGUGUGGGUUGGAAAGUUUCGGCGGUUGGGGAUGGACUCGCGGCUUAUCAGCUGGUUGGUGGGGUAGUGGCUUACCAAGGCUUUGACGGGUAGCCGGCAUGAGAGGGUGACCGGCCACAUUGGGACUGAGAUACGGCCCAGACUCCUACGGGAGGCAGCAGUGGGGAAUAUUGCACAAUGGGCGGAAGCCUGAUGCAGCAACGCUGCGUGCGGGAUGACGGCCUUCGGGUUGUAAACCGCUUUCGCAUGUGACGAAGCGUGAGUGACGGUAAUGGGUAAAGAAGCACCGGCUAACUACGUG